AAACACAUCUAAGAAAAAAUUGUCUUUUCAUAUUUCUCCCUAAAAAUUGUUGGUCAAGACUUUUCAUUUCUCCAAUUUUGUUUUUUCAGUUUUUACGCAACAUAUUCUUCUUUUCUUCCUUCUCAUCUUCUUAGCAUAUUCUUCUGUUUCUCUCACCAUAUUCUUAUGUUCUUCAGACUUCUCAACAUAUUCUUCUGUUCUUCCGACGCAGUUUGCGAUUUCUCCAUCUUCCGGUUUAACCUCCGUCGCCUUCCUUCUUUCUCUUCUUCCGAUUCAGUCUGCUCUGCCAUCGUCGCCGCAUAGGAAAAUAGCUCCAUAGGUGACAUGAUUUCUCCUUCUCCGAUGAAAAACAGAAACGCGAUAGCGACUCCUCCUUCUAUGGUGAAUAUCAAAACUCAGAAAAAUUACUCCGGCGAACUUACUAAUUUUACAUCUUCACCACCCACCUGAUGGAGGAUGAGAGGAGAUGACUUCUCCUUCGCCGAAGAGAAAAUCAGAAACGUCGACAACAACUCCUCUGGGGCAAAUAAAAGCUAGGUGAUAGCAGUUGGGGCCUUUUCUCUUAGAUGAUUGUUACUUAUAUUGAGGUCGACUAGCUGCACAUUUGGAUAUUGAAUCAGGAAUGAGGGCCUUGAACUUUCCUUUCUCUUUCCCUGCAACUCACUUAUAUAGUUAUAUUGAAGGGACACAUCUCUGUCUACUGUUCAGAAGUGGCUGAAUGAACUUUGUUCUGAACUGCGUGAACGUCUUCUUCGUGAUCUGGAACAGAAUAAACGCAUUGCUCGGUCUCUUACCCUUCAUGCAAGUGCUUACAAGUUGAUUGACUCAGAAUCAGUCAAAAAGUUCCUUAAGGUAUGGGAUUGCCAAGAUUCAAGAAGAUGCCCUCAACCUAUUUCAUGCUGGGCUGCAUGGAUAUGUUGGGGUAUACCAUGUGAAGAUGAAAGAAACCAAGCAUCAUGUGUGGGCAAUAACCGGUCUCUCUGUCUCAGCAAGUAAAAUAUAACUCUCUUUUUGAAUUCUCAUGUUGCUGUCCGAGCUAAUGGUCCUAAUGAUGGGAGGUGAUUUUGGGAUAUCUGCAUUUCCUGAGGAAGACAACAUAUUUUGCUAGAAAUUUGAUACAUCUUUCUUUCAUCCUAACGUCAGAUGUUUUAUGGAAACAUAUGCUUGGACAUAUUAUAGGAUAAGUGGUCAUCUGCCUGUGAUGUUAGAACUAUCAGAAUUUCUCUCGCUAGAAUUGGUGUUUAGUUGUUACCGAUAGAAACUAAAUGUUUACUGCUACAAUUUACAUUUAGUAAAAAAUAAAAUUUAAUGUUAUGUCCGCUUAA